UACGUAGGGUGCAAGCGUUGUCCGGAAUUAUUGGGCGUAAAGAGCUCGUAGGCGGUUUGUUGCGUCGGCUGUGAAAUCCCGAGGCUCAACCUCGGGUCUGCAGUCGAUACGAGCAAACUAGAGUGUUGCAGGGGAGACUGGAAUUCCUGGUGUAGCGGUGAAAUGCGCAGAUAUCAGGAGGAACACCAAUAGCGAAGGCAGCUCGCUGGGACGUUACUGACACUGAGGCGCGAAAGCGUGGGGAGCGAACAGG
rnacentral:rRNA from 1 species